GCAAGUCGAACGGGAUUAUUUUUGUAGCAAUACAGAAAUAAUUCAGUGGCGAACGGGUGCGUAACACGUGGGCAAUCUGCCGAAAAGUGGGGGAUAGCUCGCCGAAAGGCGAAUUAAUACCGCAUGUGGUGAGGGACGACAUCUUCCUGAAUCCAAAGCCGGGGCAACCUGGCGCUUUUUGAGGAGCCCGCGGCCUAUCAGCUAGUUGGCGGGGUAACGGCCCACCAAGGCUAUGACGGGUAGCUGGUCUGAGAGGACGACCAGUCACACUGGAACUGAGACACGGUCCAGACACCUACGGGUGGCAGCAGUCGAGAAUUUUUCUCAAUGGGGGAAACCCUGAAGGAGCGACGCCGCGUGGAGGAUGAAGGCUUUCGGGUUGUAAACUCCUGUCAUUUGAGAACAAGUGCCAACAAGUAACUACUGUUGGCUUGAUAGUAUCAGAAGAGGAAGGGACGGCUAACUCUGUGCCAGCAGCCGCGGUAAUACAGAGGUCCCAAGCGUUGUUCGGAUUCAUUGGGCGUAAAGGGUGCGUAGGUAGCGCCGUAAGUCGGGUGUGAAAUUUCGGAGCUUAACUCCGAAACUGCAUUCGAUACUGCGGUGCUUGAGGACUGGAGAGGAGACUGGAAUUCAUGGUGUAGCAGUGAAAUGCGUAGAGAUCAUGAGGAAGACCAGUGGCGAAGGCGGGUCUCUGGACAGUUCCUGACACUGAGGCACGAAGGCCAGGGGAAGCAACGGGAUUAGAUACCCCGGUAGUCCUG
rnacentral:rRNA from 1 species